AACGUUCACUUCGCUUUGGCGCGAAACGCAUCUCACCUCAGGCCAUGGAACGGGGACCUGGG
rnacentral:ncRNA from 1 species